CCUAGACUGAGCAAUUUAGUGAGACCCUGUCUUAAAAAAACUAAAAUGCUUGGCUUUGCUCAGUGCCAACGUCCUGUGUUAAAUUUUCAGUGCUGAGAGCAAAAACAAAUGACAAGAAACCCAAACAGACAAAAACUCUCACUACACGCAACCCCUGCGUCUUGGACGUCCCAGCCUCAGAACUAUGAGCCUCUACAUUUCAGUGCAUUAUAUAUUACCUGAUCUCAGCACAGAGAGACUAAGACAUAGAGCUGCAUUUCAGAGUGUUUCCCUGUAGACAGCAGAGUGUCUGCAAAGGAAGUAAUUAAACCGAGUGGGUGCUGAUUGGAUGACGAUAUGCCAAGAUGUUAACAUAGUGACUCAUUCAGCAAGAUGGAGCUUCUCCCAAGUGCAAGAUCAUUCUUCUUUGGUGAAACUCCUUGGCAAGCACUGCAUGCCACUCUGACCAUCCAGGGUGGAUGACAUCCUCUUCCUAGCUCAUUCUGGUCGCAAAACCAUGGGACUCUGGCUUGGUUGCUGGGAAAAUAUGAGGGCUGCAAUAUCGAGGACAAAGUACCAAGACCUUUCUCAGAAAGCCCCUACAUUGUGUCCUUCACUAAAACAAGGGCACAAGCUAGACUGAGGGAGACACCGGAAUGCGGAAACAGGAUCCAAGACCAGAGACAGGCAAAGCGAAUCCUCAGGAUGACCCAGAAAAGAGCCUCACCUGCCGCCUGGAGCUAGGGCUGGAGAGCAUCGGCUGCGUUGGAGCAAGUCUGCCUUCCUGGAGAAGAUGCAACUGUUCAAGUCCCUCGUGUGUCUGGCUAUAUUGAAAGGAGAUCUAUACACCUGAGAGCUACAAUUAGUAAUAUGUAAAUAAAAGAAAACCCAAGCAAACAAUGGUGGAAUAAUCAAGACAGUAAUUCAGGGACAA